AUUGAACGCUGGCGGCAGGCCUAACACAUGCAAGUCGAACGGUAACAGAAAGCAGCUUGCUGCUUUGCUGACGAGUGGCGGACGGGUGAGUAAUGUCUGGGAAACUGCCUGAUGGAGGGGGAUAACUACUGGAAACGGUAGCUAAUACCGCAUAACGUCGCAAGACCAAAGAGGGGGACCUUCGGGCCUCUUGCCAUCGGAUGUGCCCAGAUGGGAUUAGCUAGUAGGUGGGGUAAAGGCUCACCUAGGCGACGAUCCCUAGCUGGUCUGAGAGGAUGACCAGCCACACUGGAACUGAGACACGGUCCAGACUCCUACGGGAGGCAGCAGUGGGGAAUAUUGCACAAUAGGCGCAAGCCUGAUGCAGCCAUGCCGCGUGUAUGAAGAAGGCCUUCGGGUUGUAAAGUACUUUCAGCGGGGAGGAAGGGAGUAAAGUUAAUACCUUUGCUCAUUGACGUUACCCGCAGAAGAAGCACCGGCUAACUCCGUG
rnacentral:rRNA from 1 species